rnacentral:rRNA from 1 species
GAUGAACGCUAGCGGCAGGCCUAACACAUGCAAGUCGAGGGGUAGAACACUUCGGUGUUUGAGACCGGCGCACGGGUGCGUAACGCGUAUGCAAUCUACCUUGUACAGGGGAAUAGCCCAGAGAAAUUUGGAUUAAUGCCCCAUAGUAUAUAACCUUCGCAUGUUGGUUAUAUUAAAGUUUCAACGGUACAAGAUGAGCAUGCGUCCCAUUAGUUAGUUGGUAAGGUAACGGCUUACCAAGACGAUGAUGGGUAGGGGUCCUGAGAGGGAGAUCCCCCCACACUGGUACUGAGACACGGACCAGACUCCUACGGGAGGCAGCAGUGAGGAAUAUUGGUCAAUGGUCGCAAGACUGAACCAGCCAUGCCGCGUGCAGGAAGACGGUCCUAUGGAUUGUAAACUGCUUUUUAUACAGGAAGAAACCCUCCCACGUGUGGGAGCUUGACGGUACUGUAGGAAUAAGGAUCGGCUAACUCCGUG